rnacentral:rRNA from 1 species
UUUUUUUUUUUUUUUUUUUCUCUUCUUCAGGACGAACGGCGGCGGCGUGCCUAAUACAUGCAAGUCGAGCGGACAGAAGGGAGCUUGCUCCCGGAUGUUAGCGGCGGACGGGUGAGUAACACGUGGGUAACCUGCCUGUAAGACUGGGAUAACUCCGGGAAACCGGAGCUAAUACCGGAUAGUUCCUUGAACCGCAUGGUUCAAGGAUGAAAGACGGUUUCGGCUGUCACUUACAGAUGGACCCGCGGCGCAUUAGCUAGUUGGUGGGGUAAUGGCUCACCAAGGCGACGAUGCGUAGCCGACCUGAGAGGGUGAUCGGCCACACUGGGACUGAGACACGGCCCAGACUCCUACGGGAGGCAGCAGUAGGGAAUCUUCCGCAAUGGACGAAAGUCUGACGGAGCAACGCCGCGUGAGUGAUGAAGGUUUUCGGAUCGUAAAGCUCUGUUGUUAGGGAAGAACAAGUGCGAGAGUAACUGCUCGCACCUUGACGGUACCUAACCAGAAAGCCACGGCUAACUACGUGCCAGCAGCCGCGGUAAUACGUAGGUGGCAAGCGUUGUCCGGAAUUAUUGGGCGUAAAGGGCUCGCAGGCGGUUUCUUAAGUCUGAUGUGAAAGCCCCCGGCUCAACCGGGGAGGGUCAUUGGAAACUGGGAAACUUGAGUGCAGAAGAGGAGAGUGGAAUUCCACGUGUAGCGGUGAAAUGCGUAGAGAUGUGGAGGAACACCAGUGGCGAAGGCGACUCUCUGGUCUGUAACUGACGCUGAGGAGCGAAAGCGUGGGGAGCGAACAGGAUUAGAUACCCUGGUAGUCCACGCCGUAAACGAUGAGUGCUAAGUGUUAGGGGGUUUCCGCCCCUUAGUGCUGCAGCUAACGCAUUAAGCACUCCGCCUGGGGAGUACGGUCGCAAGACUGAAACUCAAAGGAAUUGACGGGGGCCCGCACAAGCGGUGGAGCAUGUGGUUUAAUUCGAAGCAACGCGAAGAACCUUACCAGGUCUUGACAUCCUCUGACAACCCUAGAGAUAGGGCUUUCCCUUCGGGGACAGAGUGACAGGUGGUGCAUGGUUGUCGUCAGCUCGUGUCGUGAGAUGUUGGGUUAAGUCCCGCAACGAGCGCAACCCUUGAUCUUAGUUGCCAGCAUUCAGUUGGGCACUCUAAGGUGACUGCCGGUGACAAACCGGAGGAAGGUGGGGAUGACGUCAAAUCAUCAUGCCCCUUAUGACCUGGGCUACACACGUGCUACAAUGGACAGAACAAAGGGCUGCAAGACCGCAAGGUUUAGCCAAUCCCAUAAAUCUGUUCUCAGUUCGGAUCGCAGUCUGCAACUCGACUGCGUGAAGCUGGAAUCGCUAGUAAUCGCGGAUCAGCAUGCCGCGGGUGAAUACGUUCCCGGGCCUUGUACACACCGCCCGUCACACCACGAGAGUUUGCAACACCCGAAGUCGGUGAGGUAACCUUUAUGGAGCCAGCCGCCGAAGGUGGGGCAAUGAUUGGGGGAUACAAAAAAAGAGAGAAGAAAAAAAAAAAAAAA